ACCAAGAAUUGCACAGUAGAAUCAGUGGGUCAAAUCCAGCAACCAGAAGAUGUGGCAACCACUCCUUAUAUUUUGCUUGUGCUUUAAUUGCAUGAUUUACAAAUUCAUAUAUAUGGUUCCAUGGUCCCAAUGAGCAACCUUUCCUCAAAAAGUAGCGAAAUAUCGAAAACUUCUCGUACUUCAGGCAGUAUGCCAAAUGAAGUUCAUUUAUCUGGGCUCCAUAUUUCAAAAGAAUGUUCACAAUUCCAAAGAACUCACAGCUCCACCAUAAAAAUCCUUUUGGAAAGCCAUGCACACAGGAGAACUGAAUCCAAAAACAAGGCACGCCUGGGCGUCUGGGCUGUAGCCAUUCCGGAGUAAUAUUUCUAGGCAAUCUUCAUGUCCCCCAAACACUGCUGAGUAAACAGGGCUUACUUUGUUUAGCCCAGUGUCACAGGCCCGGUUAGUAAGUGGUAUUAACAAGUCCAAGAUUC
rnacentral:lncRNA from 1 species